AUUGAACGCUGGCGGCAGGCCUAACACAUGCAAGUCGAGCGGAUGAAGGGAGCUUGCUCCUGGAUUCAGCGGCGGACGGGUGAGUAAUGCCUAGGAAUCUGCCUGGUAGUGGGGGAUAACGUCCGGAAACGGGCGCUAAUACCGCAUACGUCCUGAGGGAGAAAGUGGGGGAUUUUCGGACCUCACGCUAUCAGAUGAGCCUAGGUCGGAUUAGCUAGUUGGUGGGGUAAAGGCCUACCAAGGCGACGAUCCGUAACUGGUCUGAGAGGAUGAUCAGUCACACUGGAACUGAGACACGGUCCAGACUCCUACGGGAGGCAGCAGUGGGGAAUAUUGGACAAAGGGCGAAAGCCUGAUCCAGCCAUGCCGCGUGUGUGAAGAAGGUCUUCGGAUUGUAAAGCACUUUAAGUUGGGAGGAAGGGCAGUAAGUUAAUACCUUGCUGUUUUGACGUUACCAACAGAAUAAGCACCGGCUAACUUCGUG
rnacentral:rRNA from 1 species